rnacentral:rRNA from 1 species
GGAGUUAGCCGGUGCUUCUUCUGUGAGUGAUGUCCUUCCUGCCGGAUAUUAACCCGCAGGCCUUCUUCCUCACUGAAAGUGCUUUAAAACCCGAAGGCCUUCUUCACACACGCGGCAUGGCUGGAUCAGGGUUGCCCCCAUUGUCCAAUAUUCCCCACUGCUGCCUCCCGUAGGAGUCUGGGCCGUGUCUCAGUCCCAGUGUGGCUGAUCAUCCUCUCAGACCAGCUACGGAUCGUCGCCUUGGUGAGCCGUUACCUCACCAACCAGCUAAUCCGACAUAGGCUCAUCCGAUAGCGCGAGGCCCGAAGGUCCCCCGCUUUCCCCCGUAGGGCGUAUGCGGUAUUAGCCUGGGUUUCCCCCAGGUUAUCCCCCACUACCGGGCAGAUUCCUAUGCAUUACUCACCCGUCCGCCGCUCGCCACCAGGGAGCAAGCUCCCCGUGCUGCCGCUAGACUUGCAUGUGUUAGGCCUGCCGCCAGCGUUCAAUCUGAGCCAGGAUCAAACUCUGA